rnacentral:lncRNA from 1 species
GAUCUUACAUGAAUUAUCACCUGAGUCUGAGUGAAAAUUAGGUCCCUAAACUAAUUUUUUUUCCAGAAAAAUCAGUCAUUGAAUUAUAAAAAUCUAUCAAUCACAUCCAUAAUAUUAUAUUCGAACUACUAUAUUCAAUUUUCCAUCAAUUUAAGUCACGUUACUUGCAUGUGAUACACAUUAGAGGGUAGAUUGGUAAUUUUAUCAUAAAGAAAUAGUGCAUUGAGUUGCCUUUAGAGUGUAAAUUAUACAUUAAAUUCGCAACCUGUAUGAAAUGUUAAGGGCAUAUAGGUGAGAAAAUGAUGAUAUUGCACUCUAAAGUGUGUCAAAAGACUUAAGUUGAAAAAUUGGAU